AGACCAGCCCGUGUUUUCCUACAAAGUGAAAAAGGUGCCUCUUUCUCAAGCGAAACUGUUCUGCCUGGUGUUUCGUUGCAUUGCCUGCCUGACAGCUCCCAGGUGUCCGCCCCACCAGAGCACCCCGUGUCUGCUCCCUCCCCCCACACCCCACACGCACCUAGCUGAGGCCCUUCGGGACCGGCGGAGCUGCUGCGGGGCCGGGCCGCGGCGGGAGCGGGGCCCUUCUUUGUGUCCUCGGCGUCGCUGUAGCGCCGCGCCCAGUGGUUGAGCUCCUCGCGGUCGGCCUCCUGGCACCUGCGCAGCACCGUGAGCGAGCGCCGCGUCUUCUCCACCAUGUCCAUGAUGCAGUUCAGGAGCUGGGGGCGGGCGGCGCAGCCUUCAGCACCUCAGAGGGACCGGGACGCACCAGACACUCCCCCAGCCCACUCGGCCAGAGCCCCGGACAGGAUGGGUGCCCGACCAGCCCACCGCCCGUGAGAGCUCCAGGACUGAAGCCGCAGAGGCCACUCCCACAGGUCACCAGAAACUAAGACGUGAGUGACGCCCGGCAGUGGCCGACUCUUCCGCCGUGGCUGUGCCCAUGGGAGACGUGAGUGACGCCCGGCAGUGGCCGACUCUUCUGCGGUGGCUGCGCCCACGGGAGACGUGAGUGACCCCGGCAGUGGCCGACUUCCACGGUGGCUGCGCCCACGGGAGACGUGAGUGAUGCCCGGCAGUGGCCAACUCUUCUGCGGUGGCUGUGCCCACGGGAGACGUGAGUGACGCCCGGCAGUGGCUUACUCUUUCGUGGUAGCUGCGCCCACGACUUCUGGAGACAUCAGAGGCUUCCAGGCCCCACUGUUUUCUGCAUUUGGCCACUGCCCACGCUUCUGGGGCUGAGGUCUCCCUCUUGGGGCCCUUUUCAGCCCCUAAAGAUCUCCUAGCCUCCGAACCUGAAAUGGCUCCCCCAAAUUGCAGAGGAGGUGGGGAAGUGGCAGCCACAGCUCAGUCACCAGCCUGCUCUGCCGCCUGUGAAGCUGCAGCUGGCAGCAACACCCCAACCAAAAUAGUGGCUGAGACGUGCCCGACAGCUGGCGUUUAUUUCUGUAUUAGCAGAAUCGGGUGGGAGUCAGCACCUGCCUGACCCGGCUGCAGCAUGCCAGACGCCGUCACCUGCUGCCUGGGCCCUGGAACCCUCCGCAAGGUGGGGGCUGGGAGAUGGCCUUGUGUAGGGCAAGGCCUCUGCUGACCCUGCUGCUGGGCCCCCACCGGGCCCUGGGCCUCUGUCUCAGCAUGGCAGACUGGAGGCCUCCCUGCAGCCUGUCCUGGGGGGGCUCCUGGGGUGGGGCUGGGCCUGACCAUCUCUGGGUUCUCAGCACAGAGGCCGUCAAAACGUCAGGCAGGCUGGGCUGUGAGACUGUGGGUGCAUUAUGUGUGCUCUCAGGCCUCAGUCUCCUCAUCUGUGGUAUGGGGGUGCUGACGCCACCCCACUGACGGGCUCAGAAACGAGUGAAGGAUAAAAUGCACCGAGACUCCGUGCCCACCUCUCUGUUAUCCACACCAGCCUGGCCUCACGCAGAGACUCUGUGCCCCUCUCCUGCUCUAGAUACCAGCCAGGCCUCACGGCAGCCCUUGCUGGGCCCUGCAUUAACUCCCCCAGGCCUUGGACUCUGAGAGUUGGGACUCUCGUCUGGCCCAGGUGACAGAGGAGGAAACUGAGAAGCAGAGAGCCACGUGACUCACCUGUGGGUGGACUGUGGGAAUCGCCAAGCUCGGAUGAGAACCACGUGGGCAGUUCCAGGCCCGAGGCCGCCCACCCCGGGGGGAGAGGUGGGUUCAGGGCCCAGGACAGGCCCCUCUGCAGCCACCGCUCUGCUCCAGGGGGAAUGCCAGGCAGGGGGAAGGGGUCUCCCGAGCUCAGGUGCACACAGCUGCCCGUGGUGCCCUGUGCCCACAUGCUCAGGUGUACAUGUGGGCGCAUGUGUGCUCCUGUAACACGCGUCCACGCUCCCGCCCCACCGGGCUGCUCACCAAGCGGCCGAUGGCGCUCUCGUAGCUCCCGGGGGUCUGGGUGGCGGUAGGCAUCUCGGAAGUGGUGGGCCAUGGCUAUGUCCUCCAGCUGCAUGGCAUCCUGGGGCCUGGUGGUCAAAGAGCCGGACUCGCUGCUCUGGGAACGAGGAGAGGGAUACACCAGGCUUCCGUAACUGGAGACCACCUGCCCCUUGGGCAGCAGCAGCACAAGAGCGUCUGGGGCAGCAGAGGGGGCCCAGCCCAGGCACCUGGGGACCAUGGACCCCGGACGCUCGGAGUCCAUGCCCGGCACACAGGGGAGAGCCGUCCUCCCACCAGCCUCCUCCCUGUCCUCCUAGGCUCCCCGGAGCAUCUGAGUCUGCAGCCCACUGGGGUGUCCGCCCGUGCAGCCACCAAGCCUGCUGGCCCUAGUACACCUCGCCACGCUCCCUCAGCCCGAGAGAGCCGGCCGGGCUGGCUGCAGCCCCAGAGGAGGUUCCCUCUCUUACCCAGAGGGGAGCAGGGUGAGCCGCGUGUCCACGGCACCCCCAGCCCAGAUCCCCGGAGCCCACAGCCUUGGCCUUGAUGGAGCGUGGACCUAGGACGUGGACACCCACGUUCUGUGGCUGCUCAAGUGAUCCUCCAGCCUUGGUGAGGACGGCCUCAAGACCCACGUGUGCGGGUAAAGACUCCGCAGCAUGCGGCCGAAGGACGGCCCGGUGUACGGGAUCCGUAUGCAGACCCUGCCUUUGACGCCUGUGUGUACCCGCGGCGCCCGCCGCCUCGUCCUUGGCUCCAGGCUGGCACUGCUGGGCCGCAAGCCGGGCUCCUCGGGUGCCUUCCCCAAAGUCUUCCCAGAGCUGCCGCGGGAGGGCGGACAGGCGUGCUGGACCCUGAGCAUGCUGGACCAGGGCCCAGCAGCAGGCCACUUGGGAGAGCCAGCGGUUCUAAGCAUUUGUAAAUAAAUCCAAUUCCCCAACUUUCUCAUGCGUUUCAAAGCUGCCACGCCGCCUUCUCCUGCCAGCGCCUCCCCAUUCCCCACGAGUGCAUCCACCAGGCCCUCGAGCAGUGCCGGCUGCCGGCCUGUUUUUCUCUUUGGAUGGCUGAACAGGGGCCAACCGGCCAUCUGUUGAGGACAUCAGGAGCAUGAGCUGGGAAACGAGGUCCCGGGAGGUCUGAGGAGCCAAACAUCCUCCCUCCCUCAUCAGCCCCUCCCCAGGGGCCUCCUCUUGGUCAGUUCGGGAACCGGCUGGUCGCUGUUAGGGCGGGGAGAACAUCUGGAUCCCUGGCUGGCUGGGGCCAGCUGAGGCCAGCUGGGAGCCGGGGCGGUGGGUGGGGCUGCAUCCCCCAGC
rnacentral:lncRNA from 10 species